AAGUAUUUACGUAAAAAGAGAAUAAAUAAGUUGUGUGGGGUGAGUGAUUGAAAUCAUAAAAUUUUAACCUUAAAUAUAAAUUUUUACUAAAAGAUAAAAUAGGAAUAGAAAAAAUAAAGUAAACGGUAAAAAGGGAAAGGGGAGGUGUAGGGAGCAAAUUGGGAGGUGGGGGGAGCAACGCCCCGCUAAUAAAUGAGUCAGGUUGGAUUGAUUCACUAAGUGACCUACCCGUGGUGGACUGGAUGAAUUGGACCAAAUGACCCGUUUUAACAGCUCUAGAUUAAGAUUAGGAAUGAGUGUAGCUAAGUAAUCAAU
rnacentral:lncRNA from 1 species